rnacentral:rRNA from 1 species
GACGAACGCUGGCGGCGUGCCUAAUACAUGCAAGUUGAGCGAUGAAGAUUGGUGCUUGCACCAAUUUGAAGAGCAGCGAACGGGUGAGUAACGCGUGGGGAAUCUGCCUUUGAGCGGGGGACAACAUUUGGAAACGAAUGCUAAUACCGCAUAACAACUUUAAACAUAAGUUUUAAGUUUGAAAGAUGCAAUUGCAUCACUCAAAGAUGAUCCCGCGUUGUAUUAGCUAGUUGGUGAGGUAAAGGCUCACCAAGGCGAUGAUACAUAGCCGACCUGAGAGGGUGAUCGGCCACAUUGGGACUGAGACACGGCCCAAACUCCUACGGGAGGCAGCAGUAGGGAAUCUUCGGCAAUGGACGAAAGUCUGACCGAGCAACGCCGCGUGAGUGAAGAAGGUUGUCGGAUCGUAAAACUCUGUUGGUAGAGAAGAACGUUGGUGAGAGUGGAAAGUUCAUCAAGUGACGGUAACUACCCAGAAAGGGACGGCUAACUACGUG